UGUUGCAAAGGUAGAGAGGGAGAAGUGACGAUGGUGAUCGUUGCUGCCGCGGCCGAUAUGGAACCCAAGCAGUGGCGAAGGGAAUCGCAAGGCUCUUCCCUGACCAUUUUCUACUGUCCCUGCGCGAGGUGAGGGCCCCGGCUCGGCCUCUGCAAAACUUUGGGGCGCUGGCGCGGAGGAGGAGACAGGAUUUCUCCCGUGACUUUUGUAACUGCGUCAGGGCAAGAUGGCGCUGGGUCUCUUUGGGGCGCGGGGGGAGAGGCACGUCCACCGCCGCAGCGCAUGUGACCGGGCUGCAUUCCUGUGGGGUUUGGCUCCGACCCAGGCCGGGGCGGGGGAGGGGACAGGGCUUGGGCGGAGGAGACUGUGGUGCGGUCGGCGUUGGCGGCCUGAAGAGGAAGAGAUGACUGUUGGAAAGCGUUCCCCUCCCCCAUACGGCAGAACAGCUGCGGCUCCCAGGGGAAAGCCCCCGCAGGACAGUCCUCGUGGGGUGUGACGGCUGUUGGUGGAGAAGGUUUGGCGCCCUAUUUUCUUAUCUGCCUUUCUCCCCGCAAAGUAUACUUAUGUAAGGUGGUAGUUCCCUGACGUGGGACUCGGAAUCAACUAGGAGUCCUUGAGGGCCUCUGGGAGGCCUAGCGAGGGGUAGACCAGCUUCUGGGGGUACAACGUCAAGGAGGAUCGAUUACUUUCUGAGGAAACAGUUUCUCAGAUUGAAAUAGAAAAGUAUUUCCAAAGUUUGGAAACAAAUUUAAAGGUGUAAAUAACACCCAGGAACACUUUAAUUGCUUUGAAAAGGCAUAAGCAGCCAUCUGAAUUUAAGGGCCCUUUUCAGACUCUUCCUUCCUCCUGUGAUUCCUGUUCUUUAUUUCAGUUUUCUGUCUGUACAUCCCUUAAGAAUAUAGUUUUGUCGGUGGGAUUCGCUCUUUUGUGCCCAGGCUGGAGUGCAGAGGCGAGAUCUCGGCCCACUGCAACCUCCGCCUCCCCGGGUUCAGGCGAGUCUCCUGCCUCAGCCUCCCAGGUAGCUGGGAUUACAGGCGCCCACAACCACACCCUGCUAAUUUUUUCUAUUUUUAGUAGAGACGGGGUUUCACCCCAUUGACCAGGCUGGUCUCGAACUCUCGAGAUCCGCCCGUCUCAGCUUCCCAAAGUGCUGGGAUUAUAGGCAUGAGCCACCGCGCCGGGCCUGCUUUUUUUUUUUUUUUUUUUUUUUGCACUGGGCAUUAGUAAUACGGAAUAAAAGCCGUGUUUUAAACUGUAUUAAGUUGUAAGACUUUUCAGUACUUUCAAGUCUGCUUUCUUUCUGUUGCCCUUUUGUAGUUUUUAAAAAUAAAAGAUGCAAUUAUAAGCA
rnacentral:lncRNA from 10 species